rnacentral:rRNA from 1 species
UACGAAGGGGCUAGCGUUGUUCGGAAUUACUGGGCGUAAAGCGCGCGCAGGCGGUUCUUCAAGUCAGUGGUGAAAGCCCGGAGCUCAACUCCGGAACUGCCUUGGAUACGGGAUCGCUUGAGGAUUGGAGAGGCAAGGGGAAUUCCACGUGUAGCGGUGAAAUGCGUAGAGAUGUGGAGGAACACCUGUGGCGAAGGCGCCUUGCUGGCCGAAUUACUGACGCUGAGGCGCGAAAGCGUGGGGAGCAAACAGG